rnacentral:rRNA from 1 species
AGAGUUUGAUCCUGGCUCAGAACGAACGCUGGCGGCAUGCCUAAUACAUGCAAGUCGAACGAGAAAGCACCUUCGGGUGUGAGUAGAGUGGCGCACGGGUGAGUAACACGUAGGUGACCUACCUUUCAGCUGGGGACAACAGGAAGAAAUUCCUGCUAAUACCGAAUAAGCUGGGCAAAACUGAAAGUAGCCCAGGAAAGAUGGCCUCUGUAUAUGCUAUCACUGAAAGAAGGGCCUGCGCUCCAUUAGCUUGUUGGUGAGGUAACGGCUUACCAAGGCCGCGAUGGAUAACUGGUCUGAGAGGAUGAUCAGUCACACUGGAACUGAGACACGGUCCAGACUCCUACGGGAGGCAGCAGUAAGGAAUAUUGCGCAAUGGGGGAAACCCUGACGCAGCAAUGCCGCGUGAGUGAGGAAGGCCUUCGGGUUGUAAAGCUUUUUCAGUAAGGAAGAAUGGCCUAGUAAUUAAUACUUAUUAGGUUUGACGGUACUUACAGAAGAAGCACCGGCUAACUUCGUGCCAGCAGCCGCGGUAAUACGAAGGGUGCAAGCGUUGUUCGGAUUUAUUGGGCGUAAAGCGCGUGUAGGCGGAAGAUUAAGUCAGAUGUGAAAUCUCAGGGCUCAACCCUGAAAUUGCGUCUGAAACUGGUUUUCUAGAAUCCUGGAGAGGAAAGGGGAAUUUCAUGUGUAGGGGUAAAAUCCGUAGAGAUAUGAAGGAACACCAGAGGCGAAGGCGCCUUUCUGGACAGGUAUUGACGCUGAGACGCGAAGGCGUGGGGAGCAAACAGGAUUAGAUACCCUGGUAGUCCACGCGGUAAACGAUGAGCACUAGUUUUAGCGGGUAUUGACCCCUGCUGAAACGUAGCUAACGCAUUAAGUGCUCCGCCUGGGGAGUACGGUCGCAUAUUAAAACUCAAAGGAAUUGACGGGGGCCCGCACAAGCGGUGGAUUAUGUGGUUUAAUUCGAAACAACGCGCAGAACCUUACCUGGGCUUGAAAUCCUGAGAAGACCUCCGAGAAGAGGUUGUGCCCUUCGGGGAACUCAGUGACGGGCGCUGCAUGGCUGUCGUCAGCUCGUGUUGUGAAAUGUUGGGUUAAGUCUCGCAACGAGCGCAACCCCUAUCGUUAGUUGCCAGCAUUAAGUUGGGCACUCUAAUGAGACUGCCUGGGUUAACCAGGAGGAAGGUGGGGAUGACGUCAAGUCCUCAUGGCCCUUAUGUUCAGGGCUACACACGUAAUACAAUGGUACAUACAGUGGGAAGCGAACCAGCGAUGGGGAGCAAAUCUCAAAAAGUGUAUCUCAGUCCGGAUUGGAGUCUGCAACUCGACUCCAUGAAGUUGGAAUCGCUAGUAAUCGUAGAUCAGCACGCUACGGUGAAUACGUUCCCGGGCCUUGUACACACCGCCCGUCACACCACAGGAGUUGGCUCAACCUUAAGUCGUGACCCUAACCUUCGGGAAGGGAGCGCCUACGGUGGGGCUGGUAACUGGGGUGAAGUCGUAACAAGGUA